AGAGUUCUGAUUAUGUUGCAGCCUGGGGUUGGUCUCUUGGCUACAGUGUCCUGUUUGUUCUGGUCAGUUCCAGCACCGUUGUGUUCCUUUGUCCAAGUGCUGGAGGCUCAGGAAUUCCAGAAGUAACAGGCUUUCUUAAUGGAACCCAUAUUCCGAAGAUGUUCAGCUUGAAAACAAUGAUUGUCAAGUUCAUCUCCUGUGUUUGUGCUGUUGGCUGUAACAUGCCAGUUGGUCCCGAGGGACCCAUGAUUCAUUUAGGGGCUCUGGUAGGGGCCACUCUCAGCCAAUACAACAUCAGGAUUUGUAGCCAGUUUCACAACCCUGAAGAUAAGUAUGGG
rnacentral:lncRNA from 1 species